rnacentral:rRNA from 1 species
GCUGAACGCUUUCUUCUUGCCUAAUACAUGCAAGUCGAGCGAACGGACGAGAAGCUUUCUUCUCUGAUGUUAGCGGCGGACGGGUGAGUAACACGUGGAUAACCUACCUAUAAGACUGGGAUAACGUCGGAAAACCUGAUCUAAUACAGGAUAAUAUUUUGAACCUCAUGGUUCAUCAGUGAAAGACGGUCUUGCUGUCACUUAUCGAUGUAUCCGCGCUGCAUUAGCUAGUUGGUAAGGUAACGGCUUACCAAGGCAACGAUGCAUAGCCGACCUGAGAGGGUGAUCGGCCACACUGGAACUGAGACACGGUCCAGACUCCUACGGGAGGCAGCAGUAGGGAAUCUUGCGCAAUGGGCGAAAGCCUGACGGAGCAACGCCGCGUGAGUGAUGAAGGUCUUCGGAUCGUAAAACUCUGUUAUUAGGGAAGAACAUAUGUGUAAGUAUCUGUGCACAUCUUGACGUUACCUACUCAGAAAGCCACGGCUAACUACGUG